rnacentral:rRNA from 1 species
AUUGAACGCUGGCGGCAGGCCUAACACAUGCAAGUCGAACGGUAACAGGCCGCAAGGUGCUGACGAGUGGCGAACGGGUGAGUAAUACAUCGGAACGUGCCCGAUCGUGGGGGAUAACGCAGCGAAAGCUGUGCUAAUACCGCAUACGAUCUACGGAUGAAAGCGGGGGAUCGCAAGACCUCGCGCGGACGGAGCGGCCGAUGGCAGAUUAGGUAGUUGGUGGGGUAAAGGCCUACCAAGCCGACGAUCUGUAGCUGGUCUGAGAGGACGACCAGCCACACUGGGACUGAGACACGGCCCAGACUCCUACGGGAGGCAGCAGUGGGGAAUUUUGGACAAUGGGCGCAAGCCUGAUCCAGCCAUGCCGCGUGCAGGAUGAAGGCCUUCGGGUUGUAAACUGCUUUUGUACGGAACGAAAAGGUUUCUUUUAAUACAGGGAACUGAUGACGGUACCGUAAGAAUAAGCACCGGCUAACUACGUGCCAGCCGCCGCCGUAA